CACUUCGGUGGGGAUUAGUGGCGAACGGGUGAGUAACACGUGGGCAAUCUGCCCUGCACUCUGGGACAAGCCCUGGAAACGGGGUCUAAUACCGGAUACUGAUCCGCUUGGGCAUCUUGGCUGAUCGAAAGCUCCGGCGGUGCAGGAUGAGCCCGCGGCCUAUCAGCUAGUUGGUGAGGUAAUGGCUCACCAAGGCGACGACGGGUAGCCGGCCUGAGAGGGCGACCGGCCACACUGGGACUGAGACACGGCCCAGACUCCUACGGGAGGCAGCAGUGGGGAAUAUUGCACAAUGGGCGAAAGCCUGAUGCAGCGACGCCGCGUGAGGGAUGACGGCCUUCGGGUUGUAAACCUCUUUCAGCAGGGAAGAAGCGAAAGUGACGGUACCUGCAGAAGAAGCGCCGGCUAACUACGUGCCAGCAGCCGCGGUAAUACGUAGGGCGCGAGCGUUGUCCGGAAUUAUUGGGCGUAAAGAGCUCGUAGGCGGCUUGUCACGUCGGUUGUGAAAGCCCGGGGCUUAACCCCGGGUCUGCAGUCGAUACGGGCAGGCUAGAGUUCGGUAGGGGAGAUCGGAAUUCCUGGUGUAGCGGUGAAAUGCGCAGAUAUCACGAGGAACACCGGUGGCGA
rnacentral:rRNA from 1 species